UACGUAGGUGGCAAGCGUUGUCCGGAAUUAUUGGGCGUAAAGCGCGCGCAGGCGGUCCUUUAAGUCCGCUGUGAAAACUCGAGGCUCAACUUCGAGCUGUCGGCGGAAACUAUCUGGCUAGAGUCCGGAAGAGGAGAGUGGAAUUCCUGGUGUAGCGGUGAAAUGCGCAGAUAUCAGGAAGAACACCAAUGGCGAAAGCAGCUCUCUGGGACGGUACUGACGCUGAGACGCGAAAGCGUGGGGAGCGAACAGG
rnacentral:rRNA from 1 species